AAGACUAUAUCUCAAAGUAUCUGUGGCACUUGUAUUUGUUUGUUCUGUUUCUUUAGUUUGUGUCUUGAGAAAUGUGUUUCCACGGGGUUCGGUCUCGCUAACCACAGUGAUGAGUCGUGAUUUUCUCUUCUGAGCGUGAAGCGGACACAGAAUAACGAUUCAGUUCAUAUGAUCUCUGUCACUGAUGAUCGUUAAUUGCCUCCUUUGUGGAGCUUUGAGGAAGAGAAUAAGAUCAGAGCGGG
rnacentral:snoRNA from 1 species